rnacentral:rRNA from 1 species
UACGAGGGGGGCGAGCGUUGUUCGGAAUUAUUGGGCGUAAAGGGUGCGUAGGCGGUUUUGUAAGUCUUAUGUGAAAUCUAUGGGCUCAACUCAUAGACUGCAUGAGAAACUGCAGGGCUUGAGUAUGGGAGAGGUGAGUGGAAUUCCUGGUGUAGCGGUGAAAUGCGUAGAUAUCAGGAGGAACACCGGUGGUGUAGACGGCUUACUGGACCAUAACUGACGCUGAGACACGAAAGCGUGGGUAGCAAACAGG